rnacentral:rRNA from 1 species
GAUGAACGCUGGCGGCGUGCCUAAUACAUGCAAGUCGAGCGAACGGACGAGAAGCUUGCUUCUCUGAUGUUAGCGGCGGACGGGUGAGUAACACGUGGAUAACCUACCUAUAAGACUGGGAUAACUUCGGGAAACCGGAGCUAAUACCGGAUAAUAUUUUGAACCGCAUGGUUCAAAAGUGAAAGACGGUCUUGCUGUCACUUAUAGAUGGAUCCGCGCUGCAUUAGCUAGUUGGUAAGGUAACGGCUUACCAAGGCAACGAUGCAUAGCCGACCUGAGAGGGUGAUCGGCCACCCUGGAACUGAGACACGGUCCAGACUACUACGGGAGGCAGCAGUAGGGAAUCUUCCGCAAUGGGCGAAAGCCUGAAGGAGCAACGCCGCGUGAGUGAUGAAGGUCUUCGGAUCGUAAAACUCUGUUAUUAGGGAAGAACAUAUGUGUAAGUAACUGUGCACAUCUUGACGGUACCUAAUCAGAAAGCCACGGCUAACUACGUG